UAGGGAAUCUUCGGCAAUGGGGGCAACCCUGACCGAGCAACGCCGCGUGAGUGAAGAAGGUUUUCGGAUCGUAAAGCUCUGUUGUAAGAGAAGAACGUGUAUGAGAGUGGAAAGUUCACACAGUGACGGUAACUUACCAGAAAGGGACGGCUAACUACGUGCCAG
rnacentral:rRNA from 1 species